UGCCUUUUAAUUGUAGGCCUGCAUGAAUGGCUCGACGAGGGUUUAACUGUCUCUGAUUUGUGAGUCCUAAAUUGGAUUAAAGGUGAAGAUACCUUUAUAUAAAAGUUAGACAAGAAGACCCCGUGCAACUUUUAAAGUCGGUUUAUUAAGAAAUUUAAGAUUUUUAGGGGGGGCGCCUACUGAGUAAUAUUAACCUCUGUGUAUAAUAAAUACUUUCAGUUUAGACCCGACAUUGUCGAUCAUAGGAGAAGUUACGCCGGGGAUACAGGCUAAUCCGCUAGUAGAGAACGUAUUGGCUAGUGGGAUUGGCACCUCGAUGUUGAAUCAGGGAUGAUACCUUU
rnacentral:rRNA from 1 species